AAAUGAAUGGCCGCGGUACCCUGACCGUGCUAAGGUAGCGUAAUCAGUUGGCUUUUAAAUGGAGUCAGGAAUGAACGGGAUAACCGGGUUUAGCUGUCUCUUAAACUAAUUUAUUGAAUUUACUGUCUAAGUGAAAAAGCUUAGAGGUAGAAAAAAGACGAGAAGACCCUUAGAGUUUUUUUGAAGGUAGAUUAAUAAAUAUCUAUAAUAAUUUUGUUGGGGCGACAAGAAAGUAUUUAACAACCUUUCUUUUAAGAUAUGUCGAAUUUUGUUAGGAUAGAAUAAAUUACCUGAGGGAUAACAGCAUAAUUCUAUAAAUGAGUUUGUGACCUCGAUGUUGGACUAGGAAACUAGUAAGCUAGCCGUUUACUGUGUGAGUUCUGUUCGAACUAUAAUUCCU
rnacentral:rRNA from 1 species